rnacentral:rRNA from 1 species
UACGAAGGGGGCUAGCGUUGUUCGGAUUUACUGGGCGUAAAGCGCACGUAGGCGGAUCGAUCAGUCAGGGGUGAAAUCCCAGGGCUCAACCCUGGAACUGCCUUUGAUACUGUCGAUCUGGAGUAUGGAAGAGGUGAGUGGAAUUCCGAGUGUAGAGGUGAAAUUCGUAGAUAUUCGCAAGAACACCAGUGGCGAAGGCGGCUUACUGGUCCGGAACUGACGCUGAGGUGCGAAAGCGUGGGGAGCAAACAGG